rnacentral:lncRNA from 1 species
UUCUGACUCAUGACAGUGGCAAGGAAACUGAGCCUAGGAGCAGGACAUGCAGGCCCAGCUUUGGUUGGGGGCUUAGCUCCAGGAGAGGGAGAUGGCACCAAGAGGGAGAUCAGGCUGCUCUGGGAACCAUGCAAAGGUGAGAUCUUAUUGAGUUGUCCGGUGGGCCUGGUCAUUUUCCAGAUCAUGAGUGGUAUUUUUUUUCCCCAAGAAAUCUCUACAGUGACAAACCUGCAUUUUCCUGCUCUAUUGGGCUUUAGCAGAGCAAGGUUUCUUCUGCCCAUGACAACCAUGAAGGCCCACGCCAAGCUGAUACCUUGAGCCGACACUCUAAGCUGACUUCUGAAACUGCUGUCCAUCCGUCCAUCCAGACCCUCUGCUUUGACAACUCUGUGGAACUGGUUUGUUAGAAUUCUUUUCUGACCACCUACAGUGACUCUGACUCUGAAGUCACAUGUCCCUCUGCCUGGGCUCUUGGCUCUGCAGCCUGUACCCUGCCUUAACCUUUCUUUGUAUUCCUGUGACAGACAUCUCUGUGUGAAGUGUGCUGUGUGACUUGGUGUUAUAGAUAGGAGAGAUGGAGACUAUCUGCCCAUCUUAUGACGGUCGGGUGACUCACAAGUAUCUGGUGAACUGACCACUAAAGGUGAUGCAGCCUGCGAAUCCAUUGUUAUCCAAUCCAUUCCGACACUGUGGAGAGGUGUUUGGUCCAUGUUGACAGCACGGUCUGCUCACAGCAGCAGAUACAUUCAAGGGGAAGCAGGGGUCAUCUCCAGAGCGAGAGACUCAGUUCGGAGGUUCUCAGCUCUUCUUUUAAAGGAAACCAUGGAA